CCUACGGGUGGCAGCAGUAGGGAAUCUUUCACAAUGGGCGAAAGCCUGAUGGAGCAACGCCGCGUGCAGGAUGAAGGCCCUCGGGUUGUAAACUGCUUUUAUAAGCGAGAAAUAUGAUGGUAACUUAUGAAUAAGGAUCGGCUAACUACGUGCCAGCAGCCGCGGUCAUACGUAGGAUCCGAGCAUUAUCCGGAGUGACUGGGUGUAAAGAGUUGCGUAGGUGGGAUAAUAAGUAGCUAGUGAAAUCUGGUGGCUCAACCAUUCAGACUAUUAGCUAAACUGUUAAGCUCGAGACCGUUAGGAGUAACUGGAAUGUCUAGUGUAGGAGUGAAAUCCGUAGAUAUUAGAAAGAACACCAAUAGCGUAGGCAGGUUGCUGGGACGGUUCUGACACUAAGGCACGAAAGCGUAGGGAGCAAACGGGAUUAGAUACCCUGGUAGUC
rnacentral:rRNA from 1 species